GUCACCAUGUGCUUGAGCAGGUAAUCGCGGAGCGAGAACGAGCGCCGGCACACCGGGCACUGGUGCGGCUUCUCACCUGUGGGAGAGGAAUGGUCAGUGUGGUCAGUGUGGUCAGUGUGGGUCAGUGUGGUCAGUGUGGGUCAGUACUGGUCAGUGCGGUCAGUGUGGUCAAUACAGGUCAAUGUAGGUCAACGUGGGCCAAAGUUGGUCAACGUGGGUCAACAUUGGCCAAAAUGGAUCAACGUGGGUCAACGUGGAUUGAUAAAGGUGAACGUGGGCCAAACUGGGUCAAUGUGGGUCAAUGUAGGCCAACAUGGACCAAAACGGGUCAAUGUGGGCCAACACGUGCCAGAAUGGAUCAACGUGGGUCAACACAGAUCAGUACAGGUCAAUGUGGGUCAACGUGGGCCAAACUGGAUCAACGUGGGUAAACAUGGGCAAAAAUGGGUCAAUACAGGUCAACAUGGGCCAAAAUGGGCCAAAACAGAUCAAUGUGGGCCAACGAGGGCUAAAGUGGGUCAAUGUGGGUCCACAUGGGUUAACAUGGCUCAAUAUGGGCUAAAAUGGGUCAAUGUGGGUCAACAUGGGCCAACACGGACCAAUACGGAUCAACAUGGGCCAAAGUGGGUCAGUGUGGGUCAACACGGAUCAAUACAGGCAAACAUGGGCCAAACUGGGCCAAAACAGCUCAAUGUGAGUCAAUGUGGAUCAACAAGGGCCAAAGUGGGCCAAUGUGGGUCAGCAUGGGUCAAUACAGGUCAAUGCAGGUCAACAUGAGCCAAAAUGGGUCAAUGUGUGUCAACAUGGAUCAAACUGGAUCAACGUGGGCCAAAAUGGGCCAAAACAGAUCAAUGUGGGCCAACAAGGGCCAAAGUGGGUCAAUGUGUGUCAACAUGGAUCGAUAAAGGUGAACGUGGGCCAAACUGGGUCAAUGCGGGUCAAUGUGGGCCAACAUGGACCCAAAUGGGUCAAUAUGGGCCAACAUGGGUCAAUGUGGGUCAAUAUGGGCCAAACUGGGUCAAUGUGGGUAAACAUGGGCCAAAAUGGGCCAAAACAGAUCAAUGUGGGCCAACAAGGACCAAACUGGGUCAAUGUGGGUCAACAUGGGUCAAACUGGAUCAACGUGGGUCAACAUGGGCCAAAAUGGUUCAGUGUGGGUCAACAUGGGUCAAUAUGGACUAAAAUGGGUAAACGUGGGUCAACAUGGGCCAAAGUGGGUCAACGUGGGUCAAACUGGAUCAGUGUGAGUCAAUAUGGGCCAACAUGGGCCAAAAUACAGAUCAAUACAGGUCAACGUGGGCCAAAAUGGGCCAAAACACAUCAAUGUGGGCCAACAUGGGCCAAAAUGGGUCAAUGUGUGUCAACAUGGGUCAACAUGAGUAGAUACAGAUCAAUACAGGUCAACAUGGGCCAAAAUGGGGCCCUAGGACCCCCAGGUGUGUCCCCAGGUGUGUCCCCAUGUCCCCAGGUGUGCCCCCAGGUGUGUCCCCAGCUGUCCCCAGGUGUGCCCCAUGUCCCCCAGGUGUGUCCCCAUGUCCCCAGGUGUGUCCCCAAGUGUGUCCCAGGUGUGUCCCCAUUGUCCCCAAGUGUGUCCCAGGUGUGUCCCCAGGUGUGUCCCCAGGUGUGUCCCAGGUGUGUCCCCAGCUUUCCCCAGGUGUACCCCCAGGUGGGUCCCCAACUGUCCCCAGGUGUGUCCCCAGGUGUGCUCCAUGUCCCCAGGUGUGUCCCCAUGUCCCAGGUGUGUCCUCAGGUGUCCCCAGGUGUCCCCAGCUGUGUCCCCAGGUGUGUCCCCAGGUGUGUCCCCAACUGUCCCCAGGUGUGCCCCAUGUCCCAGCUG
ensembl:lncRNA